rnacentral:snRNA from 1 species
AUGCUUAAGCAGCAGUUAUAUUCAAAUUGGAACCACACAGAGAAGAUUAGAUGGCCCCAGCACAUGUACGACACAAAAAUUUGUGAAUCAUUUUAUAUUUUU